rnacentral:rRNA from 1 species
CCUACGGGUGGCAGCAGUGAGGAAUAUUGGUCAAUGGGCGGGAGCCUGAACCAGCCAAGUCGCGUGAGGGACGACGGUCCUAUGGAUUGUAAACCUCUUUUGUCGGGGAACAAAGGCGUCCACGGGUGGGCGGAUGAGUGUACCCGAAGAAAAAGCAUCGGCUAACUCCGUGCCAGCAGCCGCGGUAAUACGGAGGAUGCGAGCGUUAUCCGGAUUUAUUGGGUUUAAAGGGUGCGUAGGCGGACAGUCAAGUCAGCGGUAAAAAUGCGGUGCUCAACGCCGUACAGCCGUUGAAACUGGCAGUCUUGAGUGGGCGAGAAGUAUGCGGAAUGCGUGGUGUAGCGGUGAAAUGCAUAGAUAUCACGCAGAACCCCGAUUGCGAAGGCAGCUUACUAAACUGUGACUGACAUUGAUGCUCGAAAGUGUGGGUAUCAAACAGGAUUAGAUACCCGAGUAGUC